GACGAACGCUGGCGGCGUGCUUAACACAUGCAAGUCGAACGGAAAGGCCCUGCUUUUGUGGGGUGCUCGAGUGGCGAACGGGUGAGUAACACGUCAGUAACCUGCCCUUGACUUUGGGAUAACUUCAGGAAACUGGGGCUAAUACCGGAUAGGAGCUCCUGCUGCAUGGUGGGGGUUGGAAAGUUUCGGCGGUUGGGGAUGGACUCGCGGCUUAUCAGCUUGUUGGUGGGGUAGUGGCUUACCAAGGCUUUGACGGGUAGCCGGCCUGAGAGGGUGACCGGCCACAUUGGGACUGAGAUACGGCCCAGACUCCUACGGGAGGCAGCAGUGGGGAAUAUUGCACAAUGGGCGGAAGCCUGAUGCAGCAACGCCGCGUGCGGGAUUACGGCCUUCGGGUUGUAAACCGCUUUCGCCUGUGACGAAGCGUGAGUGACGGUAAUGGGUAAAGAAGCACCGGCUAACUACGUG
rnacentral:rRNA from 1 species